rnacentral:misc_RNA from 1 species
AUUUAUUAUUUAUGAAAUUAAAAAAUGUGUUAUUUUUCUUUUGUUUUAUAUAUCAUAUGAUUGUAUAUAACAUAACCAAUCUCAAAAUACCAUGUGUUAUUUCUAUCAAGGAGAACUUGAAAGCCAGAGGGCAACAGAUUGAAAUAGUGUUGUACAUCUCUUCAAUAAGAAGAAUAAGCUAUGGUAAAUUAAGAAUCUGGGUACUGGAACAUGUGGAAUGAUGGGUUAUGAAUGGUAAAUCCCCCAUCAAUAAAAAGAUUAUGCCCACUAACAUAUCUACCCUCAUCACUAGCUAGAUAUAGUGCGGCAUUGGCAACGUCUUCUGCCUUAACCGUCACACCCUUCAAGUUACCAAGUGAAUUCAUCACAUUCUCUAGUCCCUCGUCGUCAAGCCCAACAAAUUUUUU